rnacentral:tRNA from 1 species
GCCUGGCUGGCUCAGUCGGUAGAGCACAUGACUCUUGAUCGUGGUGUCAUGAGUUCAAGCCUCACACUGGGUG